rnacentral:rRNA from 1 species
CGCCUUUUGAUUUAUUAACAUAAAAGGUCCUGCCUGCCCAGUGACAUUUGUUCAACGGCCGCGGUAUCAUGACCGUGCAAAGGUAGCGUAAUCACUUGUCCUUUAAAUAAAGACCAGUAUGAACGGCAAGACGAGAGCCUAACUGUCUCUCCGUAUUAGUCAAUGAAAUUGAUUUCUCCGUGCAGAAGCGGAGAUAUUAUUAUAAGACGAGAAGACCCUGUGGAGCUUUAAGUCAAAACUAGCUAUUUAAUAUAGUAUAGCCAGAGACUUUAGGUUGGGGCGACCACGAGGUACAAUAAAACCCUCAAGAUAAAAACCGCAGAAGGACACUUCAAAUAAACAAAAUAUUGAUAUAUUGACCCAAAAAAUUGAUCAACGAACCAAGUUACCCCAGGGAUAACAGCGCAAUCCACUCAAAGAGUCCUUAUCGACGAGCGGGUUUACGACCUCGAUGUUGGAUCAGGACCCCCAAAUAAUGUAACAAUUAUUAAAGGUUCGUUUGUUCAACGAUUAAAGUCCU